rnacentral:rRNA from 1 species
AGAUUGAACGCUAGCGGCAUGCCUAACACAUGCAAGUCGAACGGUAACAGGCCCUUCGGGGUGCGUGACGAGUGGCGGACGGGUGAGUAAGUGCGUAGGAAUCUGCCCUGAUCGUGGGGGAUAACGUAGGGAAACUUACGCGUAAUACCGCAUACGACCGAGAGGUGAAAGCGGGGACCGAAAGGCCGUCGACGCAGCAGGAUGAGCCGAUGUCCGAUUAGCUGUUGGUGGGUAACGGCCGACCGAAGGCGACGAUCGGUAGCUGGUCUGAGNGGAUGAUCAGCCACACUGGACUGAGACACGGCCCAGACUCCUACGGAGGCAGC